rnacentral:rRNA from 1 species
AACGCGAAGAACCUUACCCAGGCUUGACAUCCUUGGAAUUUCUCCGAAAGGAGAGAGUGCCCUCGGGAGCCAAGUGACAGGUGUUGCAUGGCCGUCGUCAGCUCGUGUCGUGAGAUGUUUGGUUAAGUCCAUCAACGAGCGCAACCCUUGUAGUUAGUUGAAUUUUUCUAGCUAGACUGCCCUGGUAACAGGGAGGAAGGGGGGAUGAUGUCAGGUCAGUAUUACCCUUACGUCUGGGGCCACAAACACGCUACAAUGGCCGGUACAAAGGGCUGCCAAGUCGCGAGACGGAGCAAAUCCCAUCAAAGCCGGUCUCAGUUCGGAUAGCAGGCUGAAACUCGCCUGCUUGAAGCUGGAAUCGCUAGUAACGGUAGGUCAGCACACUACCGUGAAUACGUUCCCGGGCCUUGUACACACCGUAGAGAC